GCGCCCGUAGCUCAGUUGGAUAGAGCAACAGCCUUCUAAGCUGUGGGUCACUGGUUCGAAUCCAGUCGGGCGUG
rnacentral:tRNA from 3 species